rnacentral:tRNA from 1 species
GCCUGGGUGGCUCAGUGGGUUGGGCAUCUGACUUCGGCUCAGGUCAUGAUCUCACGGUUCGUGAGUUCAAGCCCCACAUGGGGCU